GGUUAACUAAUGAUGUUGCUGUGUUCUCCUCUAAAUCUGGGGAGCUGCUUUUGCUUACUCUUGUUUAUGAUGGGAGAGUUGUUCAGAGGCUUGAACUGAUGAUGUCAAGAGCUUCAGUCCUUACAUCGGACAUUUGGAAGCUCGUUUUUCUUUUUGGGCAGUCGGUUGGGUGAUAGUCUGCUUGUACAGUACAGUACUAUUCUGGAAUUGGAG